rnacentral:rRNA from 1 species
GAUGAACGCUGGCGAAGUGCAUAAUACAUGCAAGUCGAGCGAACAGACGAAGAACAUGAUAAACUGACGAAAGCGGCGGACGGGAAACACACACGUGGAUAACCUACCUAUAAGACUGGGAUAACUUCGGGAAACCGGAGCUAAUACCGGAUAAUAUAUUGAACCGCAUGGUUCAAUAGUGAAAGACGGUUUUGCUGUCACUUAUAGAUGGAUCCGCGCCGCAUUAGCUAGUUGGUAAGGUAACGGCUUACCAAGGCAACGAUGCGUAGCCGACCUGAGAGGGUGAUCGGCCACACUGGAACUGAGACACGGUCCAGACUCCUACGGGAGGCAGCAGUAGGGAAUCUUCCGCAAUGGGCGAAAGCCUGACGGAGCAACGCCGCGUGAGUGAUGAAGGUCUUCGGAUCGUAAAACUCUGUUAUUAGGGAUGAACAAAUGUGUAAGUAACUAUGCACGUCUUGACGGUACCUAAUCAGAAAGCCACGGCUAACUACGUG